CAACAGGCACGUACGGUACGUACGGCGAGCGCCAGCUUGGCUCGGUCGGCAGGGCGAGGUCCGCCAGGCUCUAACUACGCAGUUCGGCAGCCAUUGCUUCGAACUGUCCUUGUCCGCAGCCCCCCAGACCGUCGCGUGGCCCCCACCUCGCCAUGCCUCCGCCUCGUCGGCUUCUAGAACCGCAGCAGCUCCCGAGAAGCAGGCCUGGAGGCCUUUCGGGGAGCAGCGAAGUGGGGUGUGAGCAUGAUAAUGGGAGAGUUUCCUGUUGGCCUUUGCAUAUGUGGAGCCUAGAACAGCCUCUGGCAUGUGCACCUAGAAGAUCCUUCCUAAAUUCCUACAGAAUGAAUGCUUGACUCGAAGGACAUGAGUCUAGGAACGGUGACAGUAGAAGAAGCCAUGAACCUGGAGAGGAGAAUCUCUGCUUUGGAGCCCUGCCCUUGCAUCAGCUCCCAUGGAUCCAGUGGUCUCAGGGCUGAUUUGCCUCAAAUACCAGAUCUUCUGUCAUGACCUCCAGGGCAGCUAGGUGAUAGCUGUGGAGAAAGGAGAACUGCGGUUCAAGUCUGGCCUCAGGCACUUGACACAUGCUACCUGUGUGACCUUAGCACUACUGAAGAGAAAAUCCAGAGACUGGAUCUGGAACUUCAGUGGUGUGGGACAACUGCCAAAGCAGGUCAGAAUCUUCCUAAGAGGAUUGGAGUGCCACAGGUUCAUGAACCUAAUGUUCAGCAUGUGUAGGCCCCCAGAUGCUGUGCUUGGUGCUGGGGAAAGGAAGAGGAGAGGAGACACCUCAAUGAAGUUGUAGUCUUCGGGGCUAUAGGGGUAGGUCAUUUAUACAGAUAAAAGUAAAACAAAGGCGGAGAGUGGGGGAAGACGGAGAGAGAGUGAGUGAGGGAAGUACAGGAGAAUUCUUUUCUCCGAGUACUUCAGGAAAACACAGCAAGAAGAAAACUCUGCUGGGAAGGUUACAUUAUAGGCCUUUGAGGAAGAGAAGGGAUUUAAAGAGCAGGGAAGAAAGAAUAUUCUGGUAGUUUGCUCAGCCUUUUACAUAUGUCAGACUGGAGAAUGUCACCAUGGGGAGUCAUCAAAGACUUAAGAAGGGGAAAGACAUGCUUAGACUUUUAUUAUAGGGAUGUGAUUUUUCCAGAGGUGUAUGGCAUGGUACAGAUUAGCAGCACAGACUAUUGAGGAGACGAUUGCAGUCCUGUUGAACUAGGGUGGGGUUUUUGGGAGUCACAUAACAGACUGGUGGGAGAGAUAUUUUGGAAGUACCAUAAGACUUGGCACCUGAUUAGAUGUGGGGGCUAAAGGAGAAGGAAGAUAGUUUUUUUAAAUGUACACUGUAGGCAGGGGAUUCAAAAAAUAAAUUUGGAAAAGUUAUCUCAGAUAGUGGUUUACUUUUGUGUAAAACUGAACCUCGUCAACCCUGCUUUUCUCCUGACUGUGCCUCAAGGUUCUUCAGGACUGCCUCACUAAGCUUCCCCUUCCCCCUUUUCAACUCCCUUUUUUGUGUUGUCUUCCCUUUAUUAGAACAUAAGCCCCUUAAGGGCAGAGAGUUUUUUUUGGUUUAUUUUUGUAUUUCUAAGUACUUAACACAGUGGUCAGGUACAUUGUAAGAGCCAGUAAUUCUUGACUGC
ensembl:lncRNA